rnacentral:rRNA from 1 species
AUUGAACGCUGGCGGCAGGCUUAACACAUGCAAGUCGAGCGGGGAAGUAUAGCUUGCUAUACGACCUAGCGGCGGACGGGUGAGUAAUGCUUAGGAAUCUGCCUAUUAGUGGGGGACGACAUUCCGAAAGGAAUGCUAAUACCGCAUACGCCCUACGGGGGAAAGCAGGGGAUCUUCGGACCUUGCGCUAAUAGAUGAGCCUAAGUCAGAUUAGCUAGUUGGUGGGGUAAAGGCCUACCAAGGCGACGAUCUGUAGCGGGUCUGAGAGGAUGAUCCGCCACACCGGGACUGAGACACGGCCCAGACUCCUACGGGAGGCAGCAGUGGGGAAUAUUGGACAAUGGGCGAAAGCCUGAUCCAGCCAUGCCGCGUGUGUGAAGAAGGCCUUUUGGUUGUAAAGCACUUUAAGCGAGGAGGAGGCUACUUAGAUUAAUACUCUAGGAUAGUGGACGUUACUCGCAGAAUAAGCACCGGCUAACUCUGUGCCAGCCGCCGCAGUAACAC